GAAAUAAUUAAAAUAUUAAGCUUCUAACUUAUAUAUUAAAUAAUUAAAUUUAUUUUUAUUUCU
rnacentral:tRNA from 1 species